AGUGAACGCUGGCGGUAGGCCUAACACAUGCAAGUCGAACGGCAGCACAGUAAGAGCUUGCUCUUACGGGUGGCGAGUGGUGGACGGGUGAGGAAUACAUCGGAAUCUACUUUUUCGUGGGGGAUAACGUAGGGAAACUUACGCUAAUACCGCAUACGACCUACGGGUGAAAGCAGGGGAUCUUCGGACCUUGCGCGAUUGAAUGAGCCGAUGUCGGAUUAGCUAGUUGGCGGGGUAAAGGCCCACCAAGGCGACGAUCCGUAGCUGGUCUGAGAGGAUGAUCAGCCACACUGGAACUGAGACACGGUCCAGACUCCUACGGGAGGCAGCAGUGGGGAAUAUUGGACAAUGGGCGCAAGCCUGAUCCAGCCAUACCGCGUGGGUGAAGAGGGCCUUCGGGUUGUAAAGCCCUUUUGUUGGGAAAGAAAAGCAGCAGGUUAAUACCCCGCUGUUCUGACGGUACCCAAAGAAUAAGCACCGGCUAACUUCGUG
rnacentral:rRNA from 1 species